rnacentral:lncRNA from 1 species
GUGGGUGUAGUAAAAAUAGGCUAGAGCGUGGUGAUUGAUAAACACCCAACCAUUUUGUUAUGCAACUAUAGCUCCUUGAUUGAGAUCUGAGGUUCUUGAUUAUAGUGAUAGACAGGGUAGUAUUAUCGGAGUAGUGUAAAGUAUAGGGUCCAAUUAAUUUCCCUAGCAUAUUUAACUCCAAUUUAGUCAUUAAUAUAGAAGGUAUAUACGGCUAUACUCAGGCCCUCAUAGUAUGUAUUUACGGGGGGAGUUGGGAGAUUGAAAUAGAGGAGUGUUGUCUUUAUAGUUGAAAGCUUGAUGUAGAAUGUGGUCAUAUUUAAGGGUUAUUAGAUGCAUUGGUUG